rfam:Picea glauca, whole genome shotgun sequence.
ACAUGCCUACAACAUAGUGUUAAUGCAUUGUAUCCCAUUAAAUUUCCAUAGUUAAGAGCGCUCAGGCUAGAGUAGUACUGGGAUGGGUGACCACCUGAGAAGUCUUAGUCUUUUACAUGCC